UAAGCACAACUGGACCCCCCUUCUGCACUUAGGGCCCUAGGCAUGUGCCUAGUUUGCCUGUGCAUUAAUUCGGCCCUGACUGCAGCCCCAGGAGGCCCCCAGGGCCCCAGGUGAGGUGGCUGGGGCCACGCCAUGCCCUGGACAGCGACAGGCUCAUGAGUGCUGCCGCUCGCACCUCCUAGCUCCUGGGGUGAUGCCUCUUUGCCCGGUGGGGAUUGUUCUGAGGAGGGCAUGAAGUCAGUCCAAUGUUUUAAUAAUAGACGCCACUUCCUUUUACUGAAAAAAGAAAUGUUUCCUUCUAUAUUUAGAAGCUAGCGACAGUGAUUCACCCUGGGGACCUCAGCGCUGUCAUCAGGGACUCGGUGUUGUACUUCUCGUCUUAUUUUUGACUCAUGGCAGCAACGGUCUGAAUCAGACGGUGCCUUGUGCAGUCUUAUGCAAAGCAUGGCCCCUUCCCUUGACUAACGUGCACAGGGAACUGCACUCAAGCAAGUCCUUGGGUGUAUGUGUGCUUGAUAAUGGUCGCACCUGAGGUCACAGGAAGACCACAAGCUGGGGAAUUUAGUUUUUACUCACUGCAAAGUUUUCCCGUUAUUUUUCAGCAGUACGGGCCUGACCUUCCUUUCAGCUUGGUCCUAGUUCUGCACACAUCCUUGAGCUUAUCAGUCCAGCUGUGAAGUGAAUAGUGACUCCUGGUACAUUGGGCAGGAGGUUUUCCCUUUCUCUGUAGUGUGGGGCACGGUCCUCUGAGUAUACAUAUUAACCCGGUAUUUCCCUGUCGUGGCAGUGACAGGGCACUGGCAGUGCCCUCAUCUGUCUUGCCUUUACCACACAUCAUGUUGCAGGAGGUUCUCAGGGUUUGUGGUUUGGUACGUUGUAGCUGCAUGGGAGGGUUUGAAGCAGUGGUUUUGGGGGAAUCCUCAGAUAAAAAGUUGCAUGUCAAUGCUGGGAACUGGACUCAAGGUCCCAGCCCAGCAGGCCCUUUCCAGUCCUAUGCAUGUGGUAAGUAUUUAAAGGAUUGGGACCUCAGCUUGAUCCAGGUCAACAGAGUUACUCAAGUAUAAAAUCCCAUGCGAGCCAGAGAGCCCAGAUCCAUGAAUUUGCUUUGUGUUUCCCUGCCAAGGAGAUACUGAACGUUGCAAUCAGGCUGGGGCCCUUGCAUUUUUUUUAAGUGCCCUCUGGCUCUUUCUACACAGACAGACACAUUAAUUUCCCUUUCAUCAGCAGAUACGCCUAGAGCAUUCACACUCUCUUCUUGGGCAUGCCCCAACCUGCUUGCCCCACAGCAGGUUACUGCUAUCAGGGGAUGUUUUUUUUCUUUGCAAGGCCUGUUAGACACUUGACAUUUACAGUUGGUACACAAAGGUGGCAGCGGUGACAAUGGAGAACCAUUCUAUGCAUUUGCCUGGCAACAGAGUCAAUACUUUUUUUUUUUUAUUAAAGAAAUGGAGUCACUUACCUGGAGACAGUUUAAACGGCUGCAUCGAACUAUUGUGUUGCCGCAGUCCUGUUUGUAUUGCAGGAGCCGAUUCUGUGGAGCGCUUGGUAUCUAUGCAGGAUUGCAUACCCAGGGAUUAUGAGCUUACUGGAGAAAGGGAUGUACUUGACUAAAGACAAGGUCUAUGGGAUCAGGUCUCCUGCUUUCAGUGUUGCCCCUGCCUUGUGUUUCAGAAAGCAACAAUUCAUUCAUAAAUGACACCCAAACUACCUUUCCACGUGCCUGGUCAAGGUCGGUGUGCUAGUCUUGCGGUCUUGUUCAAUGGGCAGUCAAUCAGAAACCUGAGGACCAUGGGCGUCCUUCCAGCCUAAGGUCACCUUACUGGUGACAAGCCUAAGUUGUAAAACAUGACCUUUAUUUACCUUUACAAUGUAGUUCCAGGCUUUGGCCCAGAGUCCCAGCUGCACCCAGCCGAAAGCAGAGCUGCAAUGUAUGGAGCUGGUUCAGCUUCAAGUCUUGGGCCACGUCUAUGCCAGCACCAAUUAAUGGGUCUUGGGGGUACUUACAGGGGCCAUCUGGUGGCUGGAGCACAGAUCUGGAGUCUCAAUAUGCCAAAAAUCAGGGAUGCCUGAAUCCAGGGCCUGGGUUCAAUCCAUAAUAAUGGAUCCAAAAGUUGGCUUUGACUCUGCUGUCAUCCAAAUCAAGAGUGACUGGCAAGGCUGCCAGAAAGUUCCCAGUUUUACCAGGCUGUAAGCUCAGAAUUGGGCCAGUGCUUCUAAUACCCUGAGUUCAGUGGCAUUUACAUUAUAAAAGCACAAGGCGAUGCACAUUUUCUGCAUCCUUUGUAGUAUGAUUUUGCAAUCUGUGGACCAGCUCCUCUCUUCAGGAGCAUCAAUACAUUUCCUGAGUAACUCCACUGACUUAGUCCCUGUGCAUAAUACAGUUCCCAGGGCAUUUCACACUGCCUUAUUAGAAAGACUGAAUUAUACAUAAAAUUAAGAAGAGGAAAUCUUUAAAAGUUCAUACUUCUGGCAGACAAACAGUUCAUCAGCAUUACUUUAAUGAGACACUAAACUCCCUGUAAUGCUUUUAUUAAUGCUCCCUGCUUAUAGACUGCCAACUGUUUGGCUCCUCUCCUGCAGCCCGGCUGGUCUAUAAAGCUGAUAUUUUAGGAGUCCUUUGAUGCAAAAUGGGAGUGCAGUAUGCCCAUGAUCAAGAGGAAUGACAGUUGGUGAGAUGAAGGAGACUGAAACUCAGCAGAUGGUGUGUAGCCUUAGAGUAGCAGUGAGGGUAGCAGGUAGGAGCCAGCAGCGGAGGAAAGGGAUAAUGGAAUAAAUGAAAGGAGAGAGGGAUUCUGGUGGCAUGAACUCAGUGGGACAACUUGCAGUCAAUCAGGUGCAGAGAAAGAAGCAGCAUGGUAGAAUCACCCAUAUACACUAUGGCAGAUGUAGCAAAAUGGGAAGGCAAAAAUCCUAGGAAAGCACAUCAUAAGCAGCUGCAAGAGGAACUGAGGGAUCAGACUGAUGCAUCAUGCAUUUGACAGUUGUUUGCUCAGACAGCUGAGAUCCUGGGUUCCCCUCAUCAGCUGCAGCUGAACCCUGCCUGGUGGACAAAUGAUUUGCUUAUAGGCCCCCAGGAAGUUUACAGAUUAACUAUUAUAGGAGAGGAUGCUCCUGUUAAGUGCAUCACCAAAGGCAUGGUACAGAGCUGCUUUGCUUUGGAGAAACUCCUGGAGAGGUGACUCUCAAGGGCCAAGUGCUCCCCACUCCCUUACUUUGGGUUGGGGAGUCCCUGAGCUCUCCUGCAGGGUGCAGUGGGCAACCCCCAGCAUGCUCCCACAAGGGGCAAGCACAGUGUAGCCUUACCUGCAUGUGUUGUAAUGGGUCUAUCCUACCUACACGCAUCGUGAUUUGGAUGCAGACAGGAAUCCUGAGCAGCUGGCAGGGCAGAGCAGUUUGUAAGUCUUGGGAGCUUAGGUGUGCAUAGACCAUAUGUUGCUCCUGCCUUUCAGAGCACUAUGCAAAAAGGGAUUAAAACCGUCCAAAGCUGCCUGAAACCAUAAGAGCAAAGCAGCAAGGCAGGCUGAUGUUCCAGCACAGAGUUCAUGGCAAUGGCACAGAGCAGGUGGGGAGCCUCACUUCUGUGGCUUCCACGGGCAGCAAGAAUAGAAACAGGUUGCUGUAGAGCUGUAAAAGCCAAAAUGGCUCAAUCAAGAGGGACAUCAGGGAGUUAUUGCUCAAUAGGAGCUUUUCACUGAACACAAAGCUCUGUCAUCUCCCAACUUGCACCUGGCCUCCAGCCAAAGCCGUUACCAACUUGCAAUUAGCCAGUUCCCCUCUCAGAAUGUAGAAGUCUUGACCAAGCCUGGCCUGAGCCGAAGGGUUUCAUCAACACAAAAAGUGGGCAUGGCAAGCAAACACUGAAUGGCUCGCCCUCCACGUACGAGUCUGGUAAGGCUGAUGCAGAUGACCAAUGCUCCUUAGUAGGAGCCUUAGUUCCUAUGUAUCACGAUGGUGCUAUGUAUCAGCGCAAGUUGUGUAUAGCUGUAUGCUCAUCCGUACAGAUGCUCCCGUGUGCCUAAUCCUCUGCAACAUUGCAUCUCAUAUGGAGUCAUGGCUCAGAGUCAAGUUAGAGUGCAGCUUGGCAAUCAGGUCUAUCGUUACCUUUAGCUCUGGGAAUAGCUUCAGAGAUAAUAGAUAAAGCAUGUGCAAAGGGUGAUUCAGCUAAGUCGGCAUCAUCAUCUUGAUUUUCCCCAGGACUGAAUUGGAUUAGUGCAGUUUCUUGUGGCAAAUAAAAAUAGGUGAAAUAAUUGAACAGCAAAACUUCACAAUGUAUGUGCAUUUUUAUGAUAAAUGUAUGUGCAUUCUUUUCUAUGUAGCCCAAUGAUUUUAUAUAUCAGCUUCAAGUUGUUUAUAACUGUCUGUUCAUAUAUGUAGAAAUACCUGUUUGUAAAAUCCUCAGCAAUGUUGCAUUUCAUAUGGAGUCAUGGCUCGGAUUCAAUUUAGACCACAGAUAAAAAUGCAGAUAAUUUCCAGUGAAAAUGUGCCUUUUUUGAGCGUGCAGAGAGGGGAGAUCUUCCCAAGGGAAGAUCUUCCCAAGCAAAAGUAGCCAAACAGGGACUGGUGUUAAGCAAAAAUGGAGCACGGAAAAUAAAGCGUUUUGAUUCAGAAAGGCUAUCUUUAUCCGCAUGGGAAAUAAAACACUAUUUAGGGGUGGGGCAAAUCAAAGGAGAUGCAAUAGCAAGAAGGCAAGCAUGCAGAUUUCUGUACGACAAAAGGUAUGAAUUCUCCCAGGCUGUAAUGUUCACUUUCUUGAUGAACUUUUACCUGUGGUAUAUCAGUUGUAUAUUAGCAGUGUCAGGCGGUUCCUAAUGGAGCACAGUAUCUCAGCACCAUCACAGGCUCCAAUAUACAGCAGGAAAAUGGCCCCAGCCCUGAAGACUGCAUAAUGUGCACUGACUUGGACAGGUUUUUGCUUCAGGCCGUGCCUUCAGGGCUUUUCCACCCUGUCUCUGAGUCUGGACUUCCACCUGGAAACAUGUCCUGCCCAUUCUUUCCUGCUCUGCCCUGGCUAAAUCCUGGAAAUAAGGGAAGUGGAUGCCUUGGGCAGCCAACAGUGCAUAGUGAGAGCUGUCCAGGCUCUGCGGCCAGGGUGUGGUGAUUGGCAUACACUCAAGGCCACUCUAAUGCGGCAAUGUUUCCAGGACAGCACAUACGAGUGGGUGGGGUGAGAUUCUCAGUGGCACCCUGGGCACGGCAGGGAGUCACGGACAUGCACAUAAGGCACAGGCAUAACUAUGCAUACUGGUGCCCCCAGUGGCUUCACUGGCAGUGUCUCCACAGGCUGGCACAAGCCCACCUUCCCAUUUCAUUGAUUAAACAGGCUGAAUAGAAACCACUCACCCCCUUACAGGAUUCAUAAACUGGAAAUGGCUUGUGAUCAUCAUGGGCAGGAACACACACUGAAGCUGCAGUACAGCUGUAAACAAGAUGCACAUUGGCGCAGCGUGGGCGUCCUGGCAAAACUCAUGGCUUUCAAAUGUAAUCAAGGUGGAGGCUGGAAGCACGGCAGCGAUGGCAUCCUUCUUUUGUUUGUCACAGAACAUGAGGCAGCUGAUAAAAGCUGCCUUUGAGGAGGUGCCAAGUUACUCCUCACUUUCCCAUAAUGACACUGUAUCCCCCUUGCUGUCACCGUGUCUGCAAUUGGGUGAAGAACGGACCAGAGAAACAGCGAGAGGUUAGAGCAGAGCUCCUGCUCAAGGAAAACAGCUAGAGGCUUGGGUGCAUUAGUAAGUAAUUACUGGGAUUUCCAUCUUUAUUCUUUCACGGCUCUGGCAGGAAUAGACGACCAAUUGUGGGUGCUAUAAAACAAACCCAAGUUGGUGCGGAGCCCUCCUGUGUGUCUGCAGACCCAUACUGUCACCCACAGGCAUAAAAAGUCAGGGGCCAGAGGCAUAGCUGACCAUCACUGUGUCCGAGGCAGGUGGUGGUGGCGUGGUAGUACCAGAAUGGAGCUAAGGGAUCGUCACAGCCUCUCAUCCCCCCUGUCCCUCUCCCCUCCAUCCCCUACCUAGACCUUCCCUGCAGCAGCUCCAGCUGCACCUCUGACAGCAAGGAGGACAAAGCAUCAGCUGUAGCAGUGCAGGAUCAGUGGCUGCUUUAAAGGUCCAGGCACAAAGAAGGAGCACUUGUUUCACCAGCUGCGAGGUCUCUCCAGGACGCUGUUUCUCACACCUACUCUCCAGUUCCCCCAGGUGUGUGUGGACAUCUCACUGCUCAGCCUUUUGAGGAUCCACAUGGCACCACAGUGUAGCAUGCUCUCCACAUACUCCUGGAUGAAAAGAAUCGCUAAGCCAUCUCCUCCCACAAAGCCUGGCAGCUCCAUUGCUUGUUGUGUGCUGUCUUCUACCCCCAUUUCUUUCCCCUGCAGGGACUGCUUCUCCUACACCUCUUCCUCCAUCCUAUUCCCCAAGAGUCUCCCCGACAGGCUCUGCAGAAAGCAGUAGUGGAAGAGCUUUGUUUUCCUUCCUGUAGUGCAUUAGUUGCUGCUCUGGGGCACAGAGGACAUUUAGUAACAUUGAGCUCAUUUCGAAAGGGGAUCGGAGGAUCUCUUCUCUGUGAUCUGUAAAGGUCAGGUAAGUCCAGAGACAUGCUGCUGUCACCUUGAGCUCCAGAGCUGAUGUCUGCUGGCAGGGAAGCCUGCAGGAAGCUGGUCAUGAAGUUACUAUAUUACUUGUACUCAAGUCUGAUCUAAAGCCCCAAGCAAGAUCAGGGUCCCGCUCAGCUCACCGCUGGGUUCCUGCCCCAGAUGACUUUCAAACUAAAUGGAUAAGGCAGAUGAAGGACAGGUAUCCCAGCUUUAUGGCAGCAAGACCCAGCAACUUGGCCAAGGCAAGACUCCCUUGCCCACAAGAUCAUCCCUGCUGCACCUGUUGUAUGGACAUACUGGGGACCCCAGACUUUGGCACCUCAGUCUGCUCCCGCCCCCACCGUUGGCUCCCUGCCACCACUGCCAGGUACCCCACCCCAGAGCUGAUGGCUGUACAAACAGUCUUGGGGAGCCACGCUCUGCUCUCUUUGUUUAGCCAGCCACUUUGCUGUUAAUUCCUCCUGAGCAGGUGGUGUUUGCUCUUUCCACUCAAUGUUUGUUCUCAGUGAAACUGGCUGCAAAGCCUCUGCAGUUGCUGCUAUUUAUCUUCUUCCCCAGCUUGCUUUGUUAACGGCAGCCAGGUGAGUAUGCCAGCGGUUAGGUCUCCCAGUGACUUGCUCCUGGAUGGGAGACGCUAAGCAUUUGCAUUCAUCUGCUUGGGCUGUGGCUCUCACACGAUUUACCGAGGAGGCUCCGAAAUUCCAGGUAACUUCCUGCUUUGUACACGCUCCCGGGUGCAUCAAUGAACUGCUAGAACCAAGGCGCACAGCUUGUUGGGAAUUUAUUUUAUGUUACAAUUCUAUAAUUUAUUAAAAUAUAUUGCCCUGUAGGGAGAGAAGGCUGUUUCUUAACAGCUGAAUCUGUACCAGAACAUUUCCCUGACCUCCCUGUCAUGCCCCGGAGCUGAUGGGAAGUUUUGCAGCUCAGCCAAAAUUCAUCUUUCAAUUACAUCUGGACCGAUCUGGAGUGACUCCAGGGAAGUUAAUAGAAUUACUUUGGACUGAUGCAAGUGUAACACAGCAGAGUUUGGCCCUUUUGACCUAUCCAAUCAGCAAUAGAGGAUUCAUAGAACUGAUUUGUGAUUAUGCCUCAAUCAGGCGCUGGCUUGAUUCAGUUGGCACCCACAAUUACGCAGAAAGAAAUGGGCACUGAGUCUUGUUCAGUAUCACCCCAGGGAAGAGCAUGGCACACAUAAAAAACCCUUUGAUUUGGGGAGUAGAGUGGAAAAACCAACUAAGUGGGUGUUGUAGGAGGUGCAGUGAAGGGCUGAGGAUACUUAUCCCAUUACUUCCAUCCAGAGCAAGGGGGUUACACAUGAUGAACCUCUGGUUCUUUCUACCCACCUCCUCCUGUCAGUGCCUGGUGACCAGUACUGGGACAACCGUAGUGCUAGGACCUAGCACCUCACUGCUCAGCUAUUGAGCAAUGUCAAAACAGCUCUGCCAGCCAACGCAGUGCAAAUAUCGGAGCAGGCAGUGCUACGGGCAAGUCUCAGGAGGCAGAAAGGGAAUAUAUUUGCACAACAAUGCAUGGCCGUUUCAGAAUCUUUUCAACAAAUGGUUACAGCACAUAACAAGCUACAUAAAUGGAGCGGCCACCUGCUUCAUAAAAAAACUCUGCUCUUUUGUACUCUUUGGGCAUUAGAUAAACUGGAAACCUUUUUUUCCCACCCGCCCCCACACCUAAAUAGGGUAGAUUUACACUGAUAUACAGCACAUUAAAGAACUUAAAAUAAAAACUCCAUUUAACUUAAACAUCACUGAUUUUUAUGGGAAUUAAAAUUGACAGCACCAUGCAAGACAGAGUUCAAAGUAUCCAGUUUAACAAAACAAAACAGGGAAAAUUAUCGCUUGUCAUGAUAGUACUUUAAGAUAAAUACUAUGGGCGCCAUGAUUUUUAUUUAAUGAGAUCUUAAUAAAUAGAUGAAGAUGCUCCUAAGAAGCCUGCAAGAAAAGGAUUCGGACAGUGUCUGGUGUGAUGGCUUCAUCUUGGCUCGCACAGCUGGCACUGGCAUCCCCUCAGCUGAAAGAGCAAGUCUUUAGAGCUUGAGUUAAAGAGAAAUAGAGUAGAUGGUGGAAGUGAUGGGCACACUCAUGCUCUCUGUGACACAGAGAGGAGAAUCAGUAUUGAGCAGGGGAUUACAUACCUGGACAACAGAAACUCACCUUGAGCAUCUGAGGUCCCCAGCAAUGACUGAAUCCCUCAUAGACCUUGCUUAUAGUAUAGCCAACAUUCAAGAGUGAUUUCAAACCCUCGGGGCUAACAGCCUGCAUUGCAGGAGGGCUGGAGAGCUCAGGUCUCUACCCAACUGGUGAACUGGUGGACACGGGACAAAACCGAACUUUUGAAUGAACACUUCAUGUUGGUACUCCACCAGUCCAAGGGGGUUAGCCUGCUUGACAGGCUACAGGAUCAUCAUGGUGGGGGUGACCACCUUCCCACCGUUGGCAUAGAUCUUGUGGGGGAACACCUACAAAGGCUAAAUAUCUAUAAGCCAGCAGGACUGGAUGAACUACGCCUAAAAGAACCAGCCGACAUCGUCACGCACCCGAUGGCAGAGUUAUUUGAAGACUCGUAGCACUCGGGAGAGAUCCCAGAUGACUGGAAAAAGGCCAAUGGGGUACCUAUCUUUAAGAAAGGGAGAAGGGAGGACCCAGGAAAUUACAGGCCAAUCCGUUUAACCUCGGUUCCUGGUAAAAUCCUGGAGAAAAUGAUCACAGAGCCCAUAACACACAGGCUAUGAAACUUUGUGAACAGGCACAGAAAGGAAAGCAUAACGCACCCCGACCUGGGGGUUACUACACAUGACCUUUUCCCAGUUUAAACCUGUGCGUGUAAUCACAAUCAGGACUGCUUGCUUUACAGAAUAUGCCAGUGACGUUAAAAACCCCUCUGCCCCUGGAACGAAGCGUAUUCUUGGGUGAAACACGGCAGCUCCUUAACAGAGCACAGCGGCAUCGGAAGACCAGCUCUACGCAAGACUGUCCUCUCCACCGUUUUGCAACAGGGAAAGCCUGCGGUCCUCCCUGUCGUAGUCGGAGGGAUCCUAAUGUGGUGAUUAGAGCAACAUCACUCUCCUCUGCAGCUCCCACUUCCUCCUUCACCUCUUUUCCUGAAUGACUGAUGACUGCUACAGCUUUUAAUUCAGCCCUGCCAUUGCCUGAUACCGGCAGCCCAACAUACCACACAGGCUGACGUAGUGCGAAGUGCCUUUUCUUCUGUGCUCCAAGCGGACAGUGCGUGCGUUUGGUUUUGCAUAUGCUGUGGUUUCUCUCUUUCCUGCCUUCCUGCCCUCCCCACAACCUUGUAAAGCCUUCAGUAUGUCACAAUCUGUCAAACAACUCCUUGGACCAGGUUUUUACAAGAAUCCUACUCAAUACCCAGUGCCAAAUAACCUCUUUAAACAAUAGUCUGUGAAGUCUUGCGUUGCCUAUUAGUCUGCUCUUGCAUGCCAUAUAUAGGCAAAAGCUAGGGAAUUCCCUGGCCCAGAAGAGUGGUUGAAUGAGUGCAUUGUUUCUCACAGCAGCUGAACGUAUGCUGGGCAUGUGAGCUGUAUGCAUCGCACCGUUAUCUUUCCACUGAUUCUACACUGAAGUUUGGGCGGGCAUACACAUACAGGCUGGGCCCUGAUGGAUGCAUUCCCAGAGAUCAAAAUGCAGGUGGCAGCAGUUCAAGUACAUCACACACAAUGACACAAGUUCCCAGUGCAAAGCUAGCAGUUGUCAGGCCACAGCCAAAUAAGGGCCUCAUGGCUUUGGCCAAAUUUAAAGAAAUUUAAACAAUAGCUGGAUCACACUGGGAUAUGGCUCGAUUCAGAGCAAGCUUUCCACGUAGCUUUUGGCAGUGCAUGCGAAUCUUCUGCUCUGCAGGCAAACAAAAUGCUGAAUUUUUCUGGAGCAAAGGAAACUAUUGAUGUGGUACAGCACAUACACAUCAACACGCAGAGGGAUUUGCGAGCAGCAAGCCUGCGAUGCAGUGCCUGUGGCGACUGCACAGAUUGCCUUUCACAUUCCCCAGCUCCACGCGGCGAAUGCCAGGGUGUGAGAGCUGUUACGGACCCUGCAGAAGUCAACUGGACGGCCUUCCAGAGCGCUGUGCUCAUUUCUUUCUAACUGGCAUUUGUCAGCCUUCCAGCACCUCUCCAGUCCCUCGCGCCUUGCCCUUUUGUCCAUCGUGUCCAGGCUCCCAGGUUUUCUGACAUGCAGCUCCUCUCCUUGCUGCCAAGUGAGCUGGGAUGGGACCCAAACAGAUGCCUUUCACAGAGUGACUGUGUUGGAAAAUCUUUACAUAAAGGCCGAUACUUUGCUGCUUCCCCCUCGCCUCUGAAUCCUGAAAAUCUUCAUUCUUCUUGCUCUAAAAAAGCUUUUCUAAGGAAUCCCAAAAUUGAGACUCAAAAGCACUGUAUAUAAAGACCUGAACUGGGGAUGGAGCUCCAGGCAGGACUGAACUCUCCAAUAUGUGAGGCAGUGGAUACAGUAGGUUUCUGUCCUGAAAAAUAUUUCCUAGUGUCAUUGCAACAGCUCCAUCUCCACCGGCAAGAGCAGAGAUGAGAACCCUAGUAGAGAGGGACAUGUCGACAGUGGUGUCCCCUAACACUGUCUGGAGUUGCUUGAGAAGACACGGAAACAGGAAUAGCUACAUUCACAGAGGAGGCAGUGUCUGAGUUCACAUCUCAGAGCAUGGGGCUUUGCACAAAUGUGCACCAAGAUGAAAUUUAUCCUUAUUCUUUCAACAUACUACCUCUUAUUGCACACAGUCCAAGACAUUCUGGUCUCAUUUACACUAGGAUCACCUGGAGCCAUUCUCAUUUAGUCCAUGGAGUAGUUUGCACCAGAAUGUGACCCACCAAAUUACUACACCCCAGUUCUCAAGCCAGCUGGAAAUGCAUAGUAAGUUCAUGCUAGCCUAUGCUGUAUUGCCCAGCCAUAUAACAAUAAUCAUGUUUCAGUUGGGAUCUCUUGCUGCGAUCUCAGAAAGUCCUUCUUUGCACUGUGCACAGUGUUUGAUCACAUUCCCGGUACCGUGACAUUCCCCCUUGUAACCGCUCAAAGCAGCAGUCUGUACCAUGCAGUUGCCUUCUGCAGCUGACACCCAAACUGCACCUUGGAGAGAGAAAAGCAAUCUUUGAAUCCCACCACCCAAGUGCUCGCCUAGUGGCUGUCCCUGACUUCAGUGAACUACUUGUGUACUUAAAGGGAACCUGCUUUGAUGGAAGGGGGCCAUGAUGAAUACUACAGGCAUGCUCCUGAGGUGUAACUGCCCUUGGUGUCCCAUAGUCCUAGAACUGGGGUAAGCCCUGAAACACAAAGUGAAAAAAAAUCACUUGGUUUCAGGUUUUGGCUUGGAUGGGAAAUGACUUAUGACCCAGGAAGCCAUCUUGAGAACAAGCCCCCAUCUCCAAAGUCUCCUUUUCCUUGAGUCGUAUUUCAAGAAGACUCUCAAUUAACCCUCUCCCUUCCUUGGCCAUCUUCAAGGUGCAAGUACUUAGCCCAUUCUUGUUUUCUAGGUACCUCAGGGGGUCUCUGAUGGACCUGUUCCCGCACACAACCACCUAGAGGCCACAAGUAAAUGAGCUGCUCUCAUAUUUUGAAUCAAUGGGAACAAGAAGGACUUUCUGGGUCUUGCUUCAGAUACUCAGCAGAUCUCCCUGGGCUCACCUUAGCCUGAUGGAUGCCUCUGGUAUAGAACAGCUAAAGAUAUGACUUAACAGUUACAUUACCAUCAGUCAGUGCCUUUAAUAGAUUCUGGUGUCUGCUCUUUCAGUGAUCCUGCAUGAUAAUAACAAUGCCCUCUGCUGAAUCUAACUAGAAGAACUCAGCACUCCCACUCACAGCACUGACAGCUCCCAGUCAUUUGGUACAAAUAAUAUUUAAUGGAAAAUUUUACAGGAAUGAUUUGGAGAUGGCAAAGUCUGGAAAAAUUCCCAAAGCAAACACAGUAGAGGAAAAGUUAUAAAUGCCCAUAAACGUGGUUUAAGAGUCCUUACAGUUGGUUCCCAGUACGCCAGACUGUUCAGUGUACUAGGUAAACUUCCCUCUUUGAAUAUGCUAUGCCCAGCAAUGCCGUUUCAGUUCAAAACACACUGAUGAGGUGCCGUUUGUCAGCAGAGAGCCGAUCUUGAAGAGAGGAAUGGUUAUCCCAUGGGAACCUGCUUCGUCGGAAAUGGUGCGAGGGUCGCUGGCAGAGCAAACACCUGCCCUGUGGUGGGAGACAAGGUGAAUGGGUGCCCAGAAAAGCAAAGAAGAGCUGAAGAAGUGGGGAGGAGAGCCAAGGGAAUGCAAGACCCUGUUGAUAACAAACUAGACUGAGUUGCAAAGACAGGGACGAUGUUCUGGAAAGCCCAUAAGCAAGUGCUGAAGAUCCCUUGAUUUCAGAGGGAUUUAAGUACCCCCUUAAAAUGCAGGAGCCCACCAGUCCACCAGCUGAAUGGCCAGGUGGUGCACCAGCCCACCAUGCUGAAUGGCAUGUUUCCAGGCUGCCUGUUCUAGCAGCACUCACUAUAUUAAGGACACAAUACACUUCACUUGUUUCGUGGCUUUGUGGUGACUUUAAAUUUCAGCAACAACAGUAGGUCAAGUUACAUACUGCUGUAAGUGGGUGCAGCUUUAUGAGCUUCAGUAAAGUGGCCUCUCUUUCACUCAGGUAUAGGACACCCGAGAGAUUAAACACUGCUUUGUCUCUGCUCAAGCAUGCUUUGCAACAGGCCACGCAACUCAAGCCAGAACAUCCUACUUCCUAACGCAUACAAAUGAAAGCUGGAAAGGAGAUGAAUGCAGCGGGUUCCUGAGUCCGAGUGUUGUUCUAGUCAGAGUGGAAAACAAAUCCAAACCAGCCAGUGCCUAAAUUUGACCUAAUUUGUCAUUGCUGGGACAGAAUAAUCAUUACAUUUAAGUAAUCUGCCUUGUUUUCAACAGCUAUGGGGUUCUUCACACACCAAGGUCCCCAAGGGCCGUGGGUCCCUGCCUAGGCAAAUGUGACUUUCAAAGCAAAGUUGCUAGAGGAAUCUGUGUACUCUGAUCUCUGCAGAAGAGAGAGGUGGAGAGAGCCACAGGUAGUGAGGGCAAAGGUUGUCCCAGGUUGUCCUGGGAGGAAAAGUGUCUGUGGUCUCCAGACUUCCACAGCUGUAAGGAGGGGGAGCUAUUUGAGAAGAUCAAGUUGGCCCAGAAAUGGAAAUGUUUCCGUGUCAUUGAGCAGCAUGUGCCCGAUUCAAAUGAAGCUUCUUGGGAGCCCAGAUUGGCCAGACCCCGUGCUACACCUUGUCAAAUGUUCAGCUCCUUUAUGCUGGCUCAGCAGCCCUUGAUAGCGGAGCUGGGGCUAUGUGAAAGCAAAGGCCACCAGGACCACUAGUUGGAGCAUGCAGAGAAGGGUUGUCCACCCCCAAGCGCAGGUAUUACUGACUGCUGAAUGCAUGUCCAAGGUCCCCUGUGCCCAACCCACAGAGGACAUGAGCUCGCCAAUGGUCAUACACCAUAGGUGGAGUAAGAAAUGGUCCUUGUGCCUUCCCCCAGCCCCUUUUCACCACCUACUCACAUUCUCACCUCCUCCUGCCCCGUGGCAUGUUCAGUUAAUAGAAAAUGCCAGUGAACGCCAAGGAAGCUUUCAGCCUCUUUGGCUUGUUACAUUCAAGUAAAAUCAUGUAAAUUCUGCUCCUGUAAAAUCCUGCUUGAUUGUAUCCUUGCUGAUUAACGACAACCACUGGUGGUGGAAAGCUGCAGUUUUUGUGGCACUGCCACAGCAAGAAAAGCGGUGACAACUGCAUAUUUGCUGGAGCUCUAAGAGUUACUCGCUGCUUCUCCUGCAGCUCGGUAUAAUACAAAGGCAUAAAUUCUUCACCACGAGACCAUUUUCUUAAUAAAGUGCCUGUGCUGGGGGCCGGUAUUAUUGCUGGGUUGGAAACGCUGAAUGUCUCCAUGUGCAUUACAUUAGCAUGCGCUUGCUUUGCUCCCACAGAUGCUUUACAGGAGAAUCUGUGCCAGCGCCGGAGCCCGAGUGUCCCCCAGUGAAACCCAAGAGCCACAUCCAUUUUUAGAGUGAGUUUGCCCAAAGAGAUGUUGCAUUAUCUGAGCACCACGUAAGGGAACAAAAUGAACUGAGGCUCCCCCGGCCACUUAUUUACCUUCUGUUUAAACAGUCUUUCAAGUUCUCUCCUGCGCACCCUUCACUUGGCACCUCGCGUGGUGUUGGAGAGUCUAUUUUUAAAAGCAUGCUGCUGGCUUUUAUCUCAAGCUGCCUGAAUCUUUUUUUCCCCCCUCCCCAGCCCUUGUGCUCCUCAACUUAUUUGAAAGACGUUGGCAGAUAAAAGCGGAGAGGAGAGAUAGGGCGAAGGCAGCGAGCUUGGCCUGGCAAGCUGGGAAUUGGGGAGGGGGUGGGAAACAAACACAUAAAAAAGUACCUAAAUACUUCCUGGAAUCACCGGUGAGUCAGUGUGGGUCCAGUCCCAACGGUCUGAUGGGAAAAAUGAAACCUGCCGCUUUACACAAAAUAAAGGUUUACUUGAGCGAGGACUGCAGAAUUGGGCUAUCUAAAUUCCACAUUCUCUUUGUAUUGUUACCAUCACAACCCAGGGCAACAAACACACACAGGAAUUAGUACUUUGGCAGCAUCCAGGACCAAUAGCUCUGGAGGGCGAAGCUCUCCCUCCUAGCUCGCUCUAGGCAGCCUCUCUAAGUCUGCCCCUGCACCCGUGGGCCCGAGUCCUCACCUUAAACACCUUUUGAAAGUCAUUUCCUUGUGGCAGGCUGUCAAACGGCAGAUGCACCAAUUCUGAUCUGAUUCACACCGGUGUAAAUUGGGGCAGGGCCACUGCAGUCAAUGGGGGCUGCCUAUGUAUAAAGUGAGGGUAAGGCUAGGAUCAGGGAUUCAUAUUGACCGCUCUCACCCAGGGAGCCCUGAGCCCCUGUCACUGUUAGGAGGAUAAAUGAGAGAGGCAGGGAAUGCUAUGCAGCUGUUUGAAAAGCCAUUUUCCAUGUGCAUGUUGCAGUCGAACACCAGACUGGGCCAAAAAUCAGCAUCUGUGCUCUGAGCCUGGGGUGGAUCAUUCAAACACCCAGCAGUGCCCAGGCAGCAAACAUAAAAGUGAGUCAAGAGGGAAGCAAGCCUGGUGCCAGGAACCUAAACAGCUGAUCCCAAACAGCACGGGAUGCACUAUGGGCCCCUAAAUCUAGUGAGUGGAGGAUUAGGGGAUGUGAUCCAAUCUAAUGUACAAUAAACUCAGUUGUGAAGUAUCCUGCCUCUGCUCUGACAAGCUCUCUUCAUCCCCAAUUCCCUUUCCCUUCUAACACCUUCCCUCUCUCACCCUCCUGGUCCCCUACACAUGGCCGGAGCCUGCAAAGCUGCUGCUUGUCCUUCACAAGUCCCAAUGCCUGUAGCACGCUUGCUAAUGAAAAGGCGAGUGAUUUGCUUCUGCUGAGCUGAAGCAUUUCUGUGUCCCUCACAAACCUGCAUGCGCUCAUCAAGCCGAAACUGCAAAUUCCAGGGUGCAGAUGCUCGUCCCUAUGGCACACGUAUGCAGCGCUGAGUGACAGCACAUGGACCCUGGAUUAAGGCUCCUGGGUGCUCCUACGAUAACAAUAGCGCUAACAAUCCUGCGCUGUUCUAGAUCCAGCUGGACUGAUACAAAAUUCAGGUAAAACCCCAAGGAUUAUGAUGCUUGGACCAGAUGUCUCUCUCCUUCUCCUAAGAUCCAAAUCCGGCUGCAUACUCACAUGAAUUGAUCCACUGAUAAGAGAAGGCAGGAUCAGGCACCUUCUUAGUACGUUUCAUUAAAGCACUGGCUGAAUUUGUCUACUUGACAUGCUUUAUAAUCAGCCCAGCAAACUGGGAAGGUAGGAUCUGCGCUGGAUGGAAGGCGCGGUGCAGUGACUGGUACCAGGCAGAGUGCUGUGCCCCUUGGGUAGGAGACACAGAGCACACAGUGGAAAGGACUGCAUGGGGCAGAGACAGCAACUGCAAGCUGACAACUUACAGCAAGUUUUGCAAGAAUGAUAUGAUAAACCCAGAGUCUAAAAAAAAUUGUUGGGUAGACAAGUUCUCCCUUGCAUCUGUCUUCAGUUCUUUCACUGCCUGAGCCCCCUUUUUGCAUUUUGACUGGGCUAUAUGCUUCUGCCAUGGAGGGUCACCACAGACAAAAGAAAUCUUUCCCAUCACGCAGCUGCCAAGGAGGAAACAGCCUCUUCCAGUUGCUGGUGACUCCAUAAGCAGCAGUGAGGCCUCAAGGCUGGUCGAGCGAGCUGGUGCUAUGGUAGCUAAGUACCACAGGACUGAUAAUCCUGGGAAGAGUGUUGGGACAUGGCCAAGCAGAGAUGGGCAGAAGCUGCAAAUUUAGCUCCAAACAGCAUCUCCAGGCAUUUGGAGAUAUUCUGGUCUGAGGUUUUGACUUUGGCCUACCUCCACUAAUGGUAAGACUCUGGGCGCUGACUUGAAUCGUGCAGCUGUGCAUUCCUCUAGCUGCCCUCCACCCCUUCCCCAGCUCCAGCUCCAGCUCCAAGUGUGCAGCAAGGUGAGCUCAGCCAGGGCACGGUUUUGAAAAUGAAUGAGUUAAACUGAAGAGCCCAUAAAACCACAAGUGCAGCCAGCCAGGAGCUGUCGAUAGAUGCUUGUGCCAGGUCAGCGGAGUGCACAGCCAGAGCAGAGGCCUGGUGAUGGGCCGUAGAGAUAAGGUGAAGGCAUUUUGAAUCCAAACCAAGAGAAGGGGUUUCUAUCCCAGCACAUGACAGCAGGGGAAAAGGGCAGUCACAGGAAAUGCAAGAGGACGAGAUUAGCCAGGCCAUAACACAAAAACAGCCAAUGGAUGAAGCAAAAUGUGCUGGAGAUAACAAGCUGGUUACACAGCUGGCAGAUGGCAAUGGAACAGGCAGCUAAGAAGGGAACAAAACCCCAUGCAAUAAAAAAAAUAACAGACAGCUUUAAAGACCAUUUUCAAUCAUUUUUUCCCAGCCUGUGGGUGUGGACACAAGAGAGUUGCUGCAGAGGAAUAGACCCUGGUUGUAAGGAUCAGACACAUUAUCGGCGCUCCCCAGCUCUGUGCCCACCAUCAGUGCUAUCACAGCAUCAUGUGUUUAGGUGAUGGGGAGCCAGGUUGCACUGAGCAAUCCACCGCUCCUGGAGGAAGUGACUCAGGCCAUGGACACCCAGCCAGAACCCCAGUAUAAUUUGCAUUUGUGCCUGUUUUGCUGAGGCUCCAGUGCAGGAGUGCUCCUGGCCGGCCUCCUGCCUGCUGUCACUCCUGGCGUUCAGGCUGCUUGGGUCUGUGUGCUCUCUGGGGCCAUUGCCUGCAACCAGCCCCCCUGGAACCCAGGUGCAACACAGAAAGAACAACUCGAAUUCAUGUUCAGUGGUGAAAUCUUAGAGAGGUUUACUGUUUCCUAAGGGUGCACUAACUGGUCAUCUGCCCAGCUCAGCGAAACUACCCAGAAACAAUGGUAGGUGCAGCCCAUGGUCCCCAAAGCAGCAACAAGAAGGCAAGUCUUGUAACCCCCAUAUGUAUAGCCAAGACAUCCCUGCCCCAUGCCAGUUCUUGUCUUUCUUCCUAUUGAGAUGUCCCUUUUUCACUUGUUUCCUUGCCAAGUCCAGACACUUGCAGCUCAUCCCUUGCCUGCUUUGGACACCUGUAGAGUUCAGACAUCUCCAGUUCACUCCCUGCCAGGUUUGGGCAUUUACAGCUCUCCUCUGGUUGUCCCUACUUUACUAGCAAGUUCUUACUUUAUAGUUUGCAAGUUGUUCAGCUACUUGUUUUCCAAUUCUCCUUGAAUUAGUAUUUUUGCUCACUGCUUUCUAUUGUAGAUAAUGUCCAGAAGAGGCUUAAUCCGAGUUUGCUUCCCCAAAUGAUUCCUUGGUUCAAGAAACAAACAGCUGCUAUCAUACAUAGCUCUGCACAAAAAAGGGAAAAAAUGCCAGAGCACUUAUUUGAAAUGCCAGGGCUUUCGUGCUGUUACCAAAAUCCUCUCCAUAUUCCUUUAAGUGGCCAUGUACUUUAUGCAGGGAAAGCCCAUAACCAAUGUACUUGGUAGACUAGACAAAAAAGGAUCAUCAUGAAUCUUAAAAUGUGCCCUUUCUAAAGCCACGGCAAAUCAAAGGCAGGUCAGCCUGUGAGGGCUGCUGUUCUCUGCACUGCCCUUCUGUCGCAUGUGGGUUCUCCGAGGACAAAAUCUAGAUCCCCAUAAGGACGAGACCCUCAGAUCCAUUUAACUGGAGCUGGUCAGGAAACAGAAUAUCUGGCCAAUGGGAAAUGCCAACAUUUUGAAAUUUCUCUCAACCCAAAUUGAGACAAAAAGUAAACUUCAAAAAAAAAAAUCUAUGGAAAUUUCAAAAUGGUUCAUUUCACAUACAUUGAAACAUCCUUGUUAAAAUAAUUUAUUUUGAUGAGGUCCAAAGAUUACAAUAGAAAAUACUAAAUGUAUGUGCUGUUCAUUUUAAUUAAAAAGUUUUAAGACCCAAAACACAACAAGACAAAUCAAAACUAAACAAAAACAGGAAGUGAAAACAAAAUGAGACUCUUGAAAUGAAGCGCUCUGUUUUGCUUUGAAGAGCUUUGAAACUUUUUCCAUUCCAAAUAUUGUCAGUAGAUUCCCACCAAAUGUUCCAGUUUUGGUCCUGCUGGGGAACAAGUGCUCCCUCCAAAACCCCUCUCCCAGUUCUGUACAUUACUGAUAUGAGUUUGGAGCAGCCUUGUAUGGAACCGAGCAAAGCUGAUACAAAAUGAAUCUGUUUUCUCAUUAAAGCCACUGAACUGUGAUGCUCUUUUUAAGCUUAUGAAUCUGCAUGAUGGUGGCUGCCUAUGCAGAUCUGUUCUCUUGGACUCCAAACUCUUCAUACAGCCAAAGCCACCUGGACAAAAUAAUCACGGACAAUCGCGGGGUGAAGGGAAGUGCCUUCUUGAAAUGACUAAUGACCAACAGAAGGAAAAUGACAUAUCUGCUUCCUUGACCACAAAGUGCAUUUCCUGAAGCAUUACUGAAGGGCAUUAGCCAGGGUUAUCAAUCUCAGUUGCUGCUGAUAAGGGAACUUUAUCAAGGGACUCUCACUAAUGAGUCUCAAUUGGCAAUAGCAGAUUAACCAGGAGCAGACAUGUGCCUGCUAUUAGGUAUUAUUGUAUCAUUUUCAAUGAGCUGCAGAUCAUUGGAAAGAUAAUUGUUAGUAUGCCUUCAGGUGUGCCAACACAGAAAGGCCCUACAAAACCUACCAUGAUGUUCAGACCAGAUCCCACCUCUUCCCCUAGUGUAAAUCUUCCAUUCUCAGUGGAUUAUUUUACUGUGUCCCAUUACUGGGAUUUUGUUCUGAAGCUCUGUCAGAUGCGGUGUGCCCCUGCAGAAGAAGGAACUGGAAUUACUUUGGUUCUGCAUGAACAGAAAGCUUCUGCAGGAAAGCAGUGAACAGUCAAGCAGCUCUCGCAGUAAGCUGGAGACAGCACCUUGAUAGAGUGGAUGAUCAAGGGAAGCCAAAUCGGGAUAACCACUGGAGUCGUGGAGCCAACCUUUUCAACAGGCAUGCCAUGAAUUAGACCUGCCCCCAAUCCAUCACAUGCCAAACAGUGAGGUUGCCUGUGCCCUUGCGACACCUGUGCAGCAGGUUGGCAUUAGAGCAGGACAACGUGCAUGGAUCCCCAUGCCCUAGUAAAGAAUCCACCAUGGCACUUGAUUACACUAGACUGCCCUUUGUAGAAGAUGUUGCCAGGAGUCUUCAAGACAAGUUCAGCCAUACAGUACCACCCUGGAUGAAACCAGGGAGAAGAAACCUGAGGGGAAUUCACACUUUACAAAGCCCAUUUCUUUAACAGGGCAUAUGAAAGAGAUAAGAGAGCCCCAAAGGCCAUGGACAAGACCUGGAACAACCCUCCAGUAGUCAGGGAAUGAAACAUCGCCUUUUUAUCCUUAGACCAAGCCCCCAAAACUAGUACUUAUAAAGUGUGUAUAGUUUCAUGCUGUCCCAUGGAUUCUCUUCCCCAUUCAUGUUUGGAAGGUUAAAUAAAGUUAGUAUCUCGUAAAAUAUUAAUGAAAGAAGGCAUCGUAUUGAGCCCUUGAAACAUCGGACAUAUGUUCAAUAUUUGCCACUAUCACCAUAGUGAGGAGUUUCUUUGUGUUUAGCUGCAGUUCUCUGCUUAAAGGGCUUACCACGCACUCAUUACUACCAGCCUGGCAAGCGCUAUAAACCUGUCAUUGUGAAGUAUGAUGGUUCAGAGAUGAUCAGAUAUAACUCUCAGCCCAACACGGUUAUUUGAAGUUAAUCCACAGAGUGCAUCUCAGUUGCAAGAGUUAAUGUUACCAACAAUUUCUGCAAUGGAAACUGUUAAAUAAGCAUGACGAGAGAGAUUAAAUAAAAUGGAGUAUACUACCUGUCCCUGUAACCUUAUCCAGCAAAUGCAAAGUGAUUAGGGUAUAAUAGGAGGUGUCAAAUCUUAAUGACUGCAUGAGCAGAUAAAAGAAAAUCUUUCGAAAUCUAAAUAACCUACUUUCUCUCAAGAGACUUUAUGAGACCCCAUUUCAAAGCAAACAAAAUCACCAGAUAAAAUACUUUCAAGGACGUGAUUAUCAAAAGGAGGCAGGAGCAACUGUGCAAUGUAAAGAUCCAAUCUGUCUGCAAAUACCUGAUGUCACAUUAAAACCAAUCUAUCUAAUCAGAGUAUCUGAAGAUCAGGCCUGUUGGUUGGAUGCUUAACUAGUCAUGUCCUGAUUAUCUGCCUUUGUAAAAUCUGGCCUGAAAAGAACAAGAAGGAUUUUCUCCAGAGAGCUGUGAUCAUUUUGCAACAUCUGGGUGCAACUGUACGAAGUGUCUUGCAGAUGUUUCUAAGCGGCUUGUGUUAAGACAGAUGCUGUAAUAGGAUUGAGCUGGUUUCCUUGGUUCCUGUGCCAUGGGCGGCCGUCAUCAGAUGAGUGAAUCCCAGCAGGCUAGGAGGGUCAUCACACCAGAUGAUCUCAAGACAAAUGAGAGCACAAAUGAGUUGCAGCCUGUGGCACCUCAUGUCUCCUCCUGGCAGCACUCAGAUUAUCUCAGAACACUGGAGUUCUGGAUGGCCGAACAAACAGGAUUAUCCUCUUCCAGGGCUCGUUAAGUCAAAACUCUGGCGAUCCUAUUAGUGGAUCAAUACAGUGUCAGUGUAUUCAAGCAGGAGAUUAGCCUUUGUUUGCUCUUUGGAAUUGAAAACAAUAUAGGGAAAAUGCUAAUCUCCAUGAAGUAGGGAGCAGAGCUCACAUAGGGAAAACCGAACUUCCUUUCUAUCAGCAAUCUCAGUCUGCUGCCUUGUUUAAGAAAUGAUCAGGACAGUGCUGUAAUAUGCUUUCACUGCAAGAGCAAUGGAUUUGGGAUUUAAGGGAAGGCAUCCCACAUGCACAACCUUUCACCCCAGUGCUUCCUAUACAGUAAAUUCCUGUAUCCAAGCACACCAUGCUGCUCUACGUAGACUUCUGAUGAGGAAGCAAGGCUGAUGUGUCCAUUCAGCACUUCAGGUGAACUAAUUAGUAUCCCUGAGUGGUAAGGACCUGCCUCAAGCUAAUUAGUCUGCUUAUGAUGCCAUGCAGACUAAUGCAGACUGCUUCUGGUUUAGGAAGUAGCCCACACAGACCAGUGAAGCACACAUGGAUGGGCUCUUCUGCCUGGCAUGUAGAUCUACCAUGUAGUCAUGGUCCCAGCACUGCGUCCAAAAUACAGGAGGGAUUUUCAGAGGCAGUCCUCAUAGUCCAGACUAUACUCCCACUGAAGUUAGUGCUUGAACUUCCAGUGGCUUCAGAGGGAACAAAGUAAGCCAAUGCUAAGCGUGUUUGAAAAUCCCACCCAUAGGAGUCAUACCCAUUACUACUGGAAUGCAUUAGCCUUCAGGGUCAAGCAUAAUAGUCUGCGGCCAGCUCUUAGCAACACUGCACACCAGUUAAGAGUAUAACACGUAGACUGUAACACCCAACCUACAUUUGCAGGGGGAUGUUUAGGUAGGUAAAACAUACUAAUCCAAACCAUAAUGUGGCUGAUAUGCUAGGAUUAUAAAAGUAGUCGCUUCAUGAAAAGUGUCAUGGAAUAAUGCUUCUAAUUGAUCAAUACUUGGUUUUAAACCUCAUCUCAAAAGAUGUGGCUAGACUCACUGAGAUGUGAAGUGUUGCCAUUGUAUAAAAUGGCAGGAAUUGAUCUCCAGUAGUUAUUUUUCAAGCACUUGAAGAAAAGCAAUGAACAGAAUGAAACAGCGAAUAUGUGUAUCUGCAGGAGUACAUCUAAAUAAAAAUAACUUGGUGUUACAGGCAGGCAAAGCUAUACAUUUUAAAUAAAUGUAUCUAAAAAAAAAAUCCUUCAAGAGAAGCUUUGAAGGGCAUAAUUAGGCAUGAAAGUUACCAUAUAUUAAAUUAUACAUCCAGUAAAAAAAAGUCAUUAGCACAGUGAGUGGACUAGUAAUGACUUCAGGUUUGCCUGAGGCCACAAACUAGCAAACCAACACUCAGCCGUUCUUUCUUGGCUGUUGCUGCUGAAGGCUGGGGGCCCGACAUUGCAAACUUCAUCAAGAACUGCAGGAACCAGAAUAAAUGAUUUCCUCGGCCAACAGAAAUAACUGGAGCUGCCUGAGGAGUGGAAUAGCACCUCCCCAGGGAAUAUCCUAUUCCCCCAUUGUCAGCAACUGUAGGGUGCCUGAAGCUACACCAAGACUUGGCUAGGCAGAGGUUGAAAUGACCGGAAGAGAAGAUACCCUGGACCGGCUUCAUAUGAGUCCUGCCAUUGACUUCCAGGGUGACCCUGUGUUACGGCCUAAUCAGGAUUCCUUAAACAUGUACACUGCAGACAUUGUCUUAACCGAGACGAUCGCUUGGGCAUCUCCCCUCCCACUGGGGACUGCAUGACCACUGCAUGGGCCAUCUCCCCUCCCUUUGCUGACCACGAGGGCCUUCCAGUCAUCUGUGUGAACACAAAACCUCCCCAUGGCAGCCACAGCAGCCGUCUUUGAGGGAAAGUAAUGAACAGAAAACAGGUCUUUGUGGCUCUCUUUUAAUGCUAUUUAGCAGCUGGAAACAAGGAGUGAACACUACUUGGCCAGCCACCUUUCCAGAAACCGCCAGCAAAUGGUGUCUGUGGACAGCAGUUUGAGAGUCAGGGACUGGAACUGGUUCAGUCGAGGAUGCUUCUGCCUUGAGCAGUGGGCUGGACUAGAUGUGGCCCCUUAAGGUCCCCUUCCAGUCCUACUUUCCUGUGAGUCUGCCAAGUCAAUCAACCUUCAUAUGAAAUGCUCUCCUCCUACCCUUGUCCCGGAUAGCCUGGGAACAGAGGCAGGAGAGGUCAUCCCAAGGCCAAGUGCGUCAAGGGCAUGAGACCGAAAAGGGCGUAGGGAUGCAGCACAGUUUAUUUGCAUAGGGCAAACUUUUCACAAGUGAACUGCAUCAGGUGCAUUUGCAAAGCAGACAUUUGCAUAAACAAAUGGGACAUUUACCCACCCAACCUAGGUGACUCUGCUCACAGAAGCAAACGUGUUUUGGCAGGCUUGCUCUCACAGCUGUUCUUUAAAUUGGGCCAGAAGAGACAUUUAUAGUAAAGAAGCAAAAAUCUUCCCAGAGGCAUGUGCUACUUGACAUCUCAGAAGGGUGAGAAGAACUACUCCAGUAACUCGGGACUGCCAGCAAGGUGGAAGACUCUCCUCCCUUGAGCAAGGCAAAGCAAAAAAUAAAAAAAGGCCCCCAACCCCAGACAAAACCAAAGCUCAGCUAGUGUCCUCCCAUCACAGCCCCUGCAUUUGAUGGUCAAUUGAACCACAGCCAUGGAAGCAAGAAUGUAUUCCCAUUUAUGCCUCAGCUUUCCCGGAAAAGAAAUUCUGCGCAAUAGCCACGGAAUAACGAAGCAGAGAGAACGACCAGCCUGCUCUGCCCUGCAUUCACAACACCUUUGGCUCCAAAAGAAACCCAAGGUCAACUCCAGACUUCACAGAUCUUUCCUCUCCUGAUAAUGCUCCAAACCGGAACAAAUCAGAAUCAAGCAGGCACAAAACUCUAGGAAAUUCUGGGAUCUGAACAUUUUGGCUGGAGCCCCUCUUUUCCCUGGAUUCCCGUAGGCAGUGAUGCUGAGGAUUACGGCGAACUCAUUUGGUUUCUGAUUUGCAUCACGGGGCUUGUCACUACCUAAAAGCUGAGUUUGAUCUUGUGGGAAUGCGAGUGCCUCCUGAUUUGUUGCUCCACGGUCACACUUGAAUAGGCUGGAGGGGGCUAGCUGCUUCCUUUAUUGCAAGCCUGUGCGUUUCUCUCCUCUUCCUAGCUCAGGAGGAUUUCUCCUCAUCGCUUUCUUCCUGUGGUGAAAUGCGAGUGGAGAAACAGCAUUUCUUCACAGUGACCACAGCAUUGCUGUGCAUUCCCUGGAGAACGGCUCAUGGUUCGAUCUGACAUCCAGAUCUCUUAUGUAAAAUCAAUGGCAUAAACACAGCAUCCCCCUGGAAGGCACAAAUGGCAUAUGGUGGCUUUUAUUCCCCACUAAGACCCUACUUUUGGCAUGGAUUUUCUAAUGCUAUUAAUUAGCCAGUGGUUACAUUGAUCUAUUGCUUAAACACACGCAGCUUUUUUCUUUUCGUUUGUCUUUAACUUCUCCAGCACUUUUAUCAGUCAUGUCCCAAAUUGUUAUUUCUGUAAGAAAGGCAAUCUUGCUCCCACUGAAGACAAUGACAAAAACUUCCAUUGACUUCACUGGAAGCAGGACUGGGUCGAUUUGGAAGCUAUGGGAUGCAAAGUUCCCAUGGCAACUAUGUUUGCCAAGUGUUAUAAUAAGAACAUGCGUUAUUUUUUAUCUACCGUUCUCGAGAGUCCCAGUUUAAAGCUUAACCUUAAACAGCACUUUGUUGUGCUCACUUGUUUUUUGCAACCCAUUCAAUUUGCACGAUGAGUCAGGUAAAUCACAUACACAUCACUCCCUCCUCGUCAUGAUGCCAUAAUUACUGGAUAAGUACUUCUGCAAAAAACCCCAACCAAACAAAAAAAAAAGACUUAAUUUUAUGUAGUGUCAGUAGGCAAAUAUUCAAAAGCAGCUAAGCAACGUAGGAGUCUAUGUCCUGGUGACUUUCAAGGAGACAAAAACCCAAACAACUUUAAAAAUAGGAAAUAGGUUCCCAAAUCACUUAGAUAUUAAAAAAAAUGGAGGGGUAGGGGAAAGCCCAUCAAGCUGAGAAAGAUUUGCUGUGUUAAAAAUUUAACUUGAGCUCUUCGAUAUAUUCUGUAGAGAUCCAUGCCUGGUCCUGCUCUCAUUUUCACUGGUGUAAAGUAAGGAAUAACUCCAUUGUAAUUGGUUGACGAGUCUCUUGCACUAAAUGCACGCACUUAUCUCUGAACAGACUCUGGCGCCUUACAAUACGGGUUCUUAGUCUUAUGAUAAAUUCCUCCUGUAGGACACAGGCAAUCAGGACUCGUAGUAGAGAUGAUAUCUUUUA